AACGAACGCUGGCGGCAUGCCUAACACAUGCAAGUCGAACGAGACCUUCGGGUCUAGUGGCGCACGGGUGCGUAACGCGUGGGAACCUGCCUUUAGGUUCGGAAUAACUCAGAGAAAUUUGAGCUAAUACCGGAUAAAUGUCUUCGGACCAAAGACUUAUCGCCUUUAGAUGGGCCCGCGUUGGAUUAGCUAGUUGGUGGGGUAAAGGCCUACCAAGGCGACGAUCCAUAGCUGGUCUGAGAGGAUGAUCAGCCACACUGGGACUGAGACACGGCCCAGACUCCUACGGGAGGCAGCAGUGGGGAAUAUUGGACAAUGGGCGAAAGCCUGAUCCAGCAAUGCCGCGUGAGUGAUGAAGGCCUUAGGGUUGGUAAAGACUCUUUUACCCGACGAUGAUAAUGACAGUAUCGGGAGAAUAAGCUCCGGCUAACUCCGUG
rnacentral:rRNA from 1 species